UAUGGUGUAUCCCUACUUAUAAUAUAAUCUCUAAAUAUUUCAAAAUGUCUAACAUAAUUUUUCAAUUUUCUUGACUUGUUAUACUAUUGCCUCAUUGUUUUUCUCUGCCAAUUCCAGAUUUCUUCGGUACUUUGGACCCAUUCGGAAGCAGUUCGUUCGGCAGCAGCAGCGGAUUUGCAGACUUCAGCCAAAUGUCAAAGGGCUUUGUAGACGACCCCUUCAGCCGAAAA